AGAGUUUGAUCAUGGCUCAGGAUGAACGCUAGCGGCAGGCUUAAUACAUGCAAGUCGUGGGGCAGCAGGAGUAGCAAUACUUGCUGGCGACCGGCAAACGGGUGCGUAACACGUACACAACUUUCCUUUAAGUGGGGGAUAGCCCAGAGAAAUUUGGAUUAAUACCCCGUAAUAUUAUGAGAUGGCAUCAUUUUAUAAUU
rnacentral:rRNA from 1 species